UAGGGAAUAUUGCACAAUGGGGGAAACCCUGAUGCAGCGACGCCGCGUGAAGGAAGAAGUAUCUCGGUAUGUAAACUUCUAUCAGCAGGGAAGACAAUGACGGUACCUGACUAAGAAGCCCCGGCUAACUACGUGCCAGCAGCCGCGGUAAUACGUAGGGGGCAAGCGUUAUCCGGAUUUACUGGGUGUAAAGGGAGCGUAGACGGAUCUGCAAGUCUGGAGUGAAAGCCCGGGGCUCAACCCCGGGACUGCUUUGGAAACUGUGGAUCUAGAGUGCCGGAGAGGUAAGCGGAAUUCCUAGUG
rnacentral:rRNA from 1 species